GGCUCGGUAGCGGAUGGUCCGCAUCUGGACUUUAUUAGUAUAUCCCCAGAUGUAACGUAGAUGAUGCCUGUUCGACUCAGGCCCGAGCCA